UAAGGAAUAUUGGUCAAUGGACGCAAGUCUGAACCAGCCAUGCCGCGUGAAGGAUGAAGGUCCUCUGGAUUGUAAACUUCUUUUAUAGGGGACGAAACCCGGGUAUUCUUACCCGAUUGACGGUACCCUAGGAAUAAGCACCGGCUAACUCCGUGCCAGCAGCCGCGGUAAUACGGAGGGUGCAAGCGUUAUCCGGAUUCACUGGGUUUAAAGGGUGCGUAGGAGGGCAGGUAAGUCAGUGGUGAAAUCUCCGAGCUUAACUCGGAAACUGCCGUUGAUACUAUCUGUCUUGAAUCCCGUGGAGAUGAGCGGAAUAUGUCAUGUAGCGGUGAAAUGCUUAGAUAUGACAUAGAACACCAAUUGCGAAGGCAGCUCGUUACACGAAGAUUGACUCUGAGGCACGAAAGCGUGGGGAUCAAACAG
rnacentral:rRNA from 1 species